UCGGGAGCGCACCCCCUUCCCAGGGCCCCGCGGCCAGGUGCGCUGGACCUGGACCUGGACCUCUCCUCUGCCCUCGUCUGCACCUGCAGCUCCCAGACCGCUCCCUCUGCCGCCCCUCUUCUGCACACCGAUUUUGGCCUUGAGCAAGCGUCUCAGUUUCUGUUCCUUACAGAAGGCGCCAGGCACGCUGUCGCCAAGGGAAACCCCAUCAGGCUCCUGACCCUACUUCCUUGGGCUCAGACAUCCCCCAUCAAGCCUGGAAACCGCGCAGGCCCAGAAACCGUAGUCCAGAAAUUACCCCCAGGAAACCCCCAGCGCCCGAGGCACUCUCUUUCAUAGGAAGUUUACCCAGAGAGAAGGCUCACAAUGGACUUCUGCUCAAGAAUAAGGCAAGACCGGAAGUGACUAAGUGUAAGGUGUUGGUAACCGACGGUAAGUGCGAAGGGGGUUCAGAGAAUGAAGAUGAAACUGGAGGGCCUGUUUGUUGAGAACAGAUACCUCAGGAGGCUCUGCAGGAGCAAAGUGGAGAAGGCUUGGGUGAACAGAGUCAGCCUCCAAGUCCUUCCACAGGUGACUGUUCCGUUCUAAAUCACACCUUGCACUGACAGAUUCUUUCUGCAUCCCACCAAUGUCUAACUUAGUUAUGUUUGAAUGGUGCCGUUGGCUUGGUCCAUCAAGCAUUCAGUCAACAAAGGCUUACUGCAUUUAGCUCCAGGCCUAAACUGAGCUUAGCUAGGUAGAAAGAAGCCAGUGACUAAAGUCCGUGCCCUGAGCGAGUCAAGGGGAAAAGGGGGAUAUCGUCCCUGGUUCACAGGCAGGAAAACUGGCCCAAAGAGAGUCAACAGGUGCCCAAAGCACCAAGGUGAGUCUGGCCAAGCUGAACUGAGAAUCGACCCAGCUUCUAAACUUUGCUGACCCUUUGAUGAACUAGAUCUAAACACGGUUUGCCGUUCUUGCCAUGAGCCAUGUAAACGUCACUCUGCCAGAGAACAGAACUGAAGGGUCAACUCUCACUCCCGGAGACCUGACUCCCAAAUCUACCUCUGUCACUACAUUGCUUUAGUUUUCUUACUAGAAAAAAAAUGGAAAUAACUGUGGUUAGUCAAAGUUACUGUUGGUAUUAAAUUAGGCAGUGGACUGAAACUUGGCUCUGAAAGUAUAAUGUGCAUGUAAGUGUGCAUUAUCUUAUGCAGGUGGCAUCCCUUCUUGAGCCUAUAGAAGUAGUCAGGUCUCCUCCCCUCCCCGCCCCCCAGGGCUUAUCCCAGGUUACUGGGCGCCCAGAAGCUAACUGUACUCUGACUCCUCCCCUCAGGCCGCAGUGUGCUUACGCAUGAUCUUUCCCCUUCGGUUUCUUAAUGGCACAACCAGAUGCUUAGCUAGCUGCCUGGAAGCCAUAUGAUCAGUGGGGCAGGAGGGAAGCAAUUCUGGGGUCUUUUGGACCCUGGGCGAGGGGUUCUGGAGCCAUCUGAGCACCACCCAGCUCCUUGACCCCUUGCAAGACACUGCAGGUUGCUCAGCAAGAGGCAAUGUGAUGAAGCCAGCAGGGGUUUGGCUCCUUGGGACUGUUCUCCCCGCAAGCUAGCUGCGCCAAGGACAGGACAAGACAACCUAAGGAGCCGCCGUCUGGGUCCUGGUCCCGUUUGGAGCCGUGCUGCUUCCGUUCCUUUUUCCUCUGCCUCCCUUGACCUCUCUGGUUCUGUGUCCACGGUGGAGGAAGUGGGGCAACCAGACGGGCCUCAGGGCCAGAUGCUUGUCGGGAAAGCCGUGGCCCCAGAGGCUCCUCCUUGGCAGGCGGUGGGUGUGGGUAGGAGGCCCGGAGCUGCUCGACAAAUGUGCCUCACAGGCUUCUGGCUCCUACCAGAACGCCACACAUGUGCCCCGUUAGCAUCCUGCCCACCAGGAGGAGGGAACAGCAAGAUGCCGUGUGAGGAAGAAAUAAACCCAAUCCAGCAUCUCAGACGCUUUUAAAAAUAGCAACUCUGGGAGGGUAUUUCAGCUCCUAUUUUUAUCAGAUUUAUAUGGCCGGACCAUAGAGCUGAGCUGUUCCCAGGGUUCUUAAUAGCAAGCAGGGGACAUCACUGUUGUAGUCUUAGAAACCUGCCGCUAGGCCAAGGCAUUCCAGGAACCUUUAAGCUGGAGGAGAUCCCAAGAAGUCAUUGCGUGCAGCUCUUGCCUCUGCUUGGGGCCACAGUCAAUUAACCACAGACAGUUUAUGGCUUGCUUUUUUGCUUAAGAAUCUCUUGGUUUCUGUGCCUCCACACUGCAUAAUCUAGGAUUUCACAGCCCUUCUAAUCAGAAGUUCUUUUUAAUAUAUAGCCCAAAUAUCUCUGGUUACAUCCUUCUCACAGUAGAAAUAAAGCUAACGUUUACCCAGUGACGACUAUGUCCAAAAAAGGUUCGUCUUUAAUCCCCACAAAACCCUUCAUGGUGGGCACUCAUCAUUCCUAAUUUGGAAGCAGUUAGGUAACUUGCCCACGAUCAUACCUGGGGGAUGGUGCAGAUUCUAUGCCAAAGCCACCAGACCACACUGCCUCCCAGACAUUUGUCCUUCGCUUGGACUUUCAUUUCUUCAUCAUGGUCCUGAAGGACGAACUGGCCAGUGUUGUCAUUGUGCACGUGUGUGUCAUGCCAGAAGCGUGGCUCUAGAUCCCAGCGUGCUGAGCCAUGGUCCCCCGAACUGCCUGGCCUCUGCUUGUCAAGCGUAGCCUAGAAAUUUGCCUUCUCUUUGCAUUUGCCUUCUCACAGCCCCCUCUGCUUUAUUUGAAGGCAUUCACCACUCUUGUAAUUACUUUGUAAUUAAUGCCUGUGUUCCUCACUAAAUCAUAAGCUCCAUGUGAGCUCUAGCUCCAGAUUCUUACUUAAAAAAAAAAAGUCGGGAAGAUGUGCAAAACAUGGGCAUUGAAUUGAAACACUUUAAACGGAUUCAGUCCCUGCUUAUUUUUUAAGUGGUUAGAACAUGGUAACUUCAAGUCUGUGUAGAUUUCAGAAUCCAGUAUCAUUUCACUAAUAAUAGCACUAGAACAAACACAGGGUUGCCAACAUUUAUUUUGCUGAGUGAGGAUAUUUUAAAAACAACUACCACCAAUGACUACCAUCUUCUUUAAAAAAGGACAUUUUAACAUCAAUAUAUACAUGUUUGGAAUGAAGAUUUUCGUCCUUUCUGAGAAGGAAGAGUUGGCCGACCUACAUUAGUUGAUUCAGAAAGAAAAGAGAUAUACUAAAAUGUUUUGGAUAUGGAAGUAUUACAAGAGAAACAAUUUCAAAUAUUAUUUGUAUGUAAA